rnacentral:rRNA from 1 species
UGCCAGCAGCCGCGGUAAGACGAACCGUGCGAACGUUGUUCGGAAUCAUUGGGCUUAAAGGGUGCGUAGGCGGGUGUUCAAGUCCGGGGUGAAAGCCUCCAGCUCAACUGGAGAAGCGCCUCGGAUACUGUUCAUCUCGAGAGAGGUAGGGGCACAUGGAACUUCCGGUGGAGCGGUGAAAUGCGUAGAGAUCGGAAGGAACGCCGGUGGCGAAAGCAAUGUGCUGGAUCUUUUCUGACGCUGAGGCACGAAAGCCAGGGGAGCAAACGGGAUUAGAUACCCCGGUAGUCCUGGCCCUAAACGAUGGGUACUGGGUUGCGGGUCGGACAUAGACUCGCAGCCGAAGCAAAAGUGGUAAGUACCCCGCCUGGGGAGUAUGGUCGCAAGGCUGAAACUCAAAUGAAUUGACGG